CCUACGGGCGACAGCAGUGAGGCAUAUUGGUCAAUGGGAGAGAUCCUGAACCAGCCAAGCCGCGUGAGGGAAGACGGCCCUAUGGGUUGUAAACCUCUUUUGUCGAAGAACAAAACCCGGGACGUGUCCCGGACUGCGUGUAUCCGAAGAAAAAGCAUCGGCUAACUCCGUGCCAGCCGCCGCGGUAAUACGGAGGAUGCGAGCGUUAUCCGGAUUUAUUGGGUUUAAAGGGUGCGUAGGCGGUCCGUUAAGUCAGCGGUAAAAGUGCGGGGCUCAACCCCGUCGAGCCGUUGAAACUGGCAGACUUGAGUUGGCGAGAAGUACGCGGAAUGCGCGGUGUAGCGGUGAAAUGCAUAGAUAUCGCGCAGAACUCCGAUUGCGAAGGCAGCGUACCGGCGCCAGACUGACGCUGAGGCACGAAAGCGUGGGGAUCGAACAGGAUUAGAUACCCCAGUAGUC
rnacentral:rRNA from 1 species